CUCUCUCUGUUACCCGCUGACCACUGGGCUUGGCAUCCUCUCCACUCACCUGCCCUAUCACCGCCUCCACCGUAUCUCUAUCCUUGUCUCACUCUCACCUCAAAGUCUCUGCAGCAAGAAUGAGGAUCAACGCCUUGGUGUCAGAGAGAAGGAAUGUAGGGCUAACAAUUCCUGACUGCGGACUUACAAGUUUCGGUUCCGGACGCUGACUUUGGUUGGUUGGUUUCUGAGAACGUUCCUUGUCUGACAAAGGGACCAACCUUCAAGUGUAAGUGAUCAAUUUGGUAUUACUUACUCACAGAGAUGCAAUUUUUGUAGGAUUUUUGUUAUUAUUAUCAUCAUUUGUGAUUGCAUGUAUUGCAUAGUCACAUAAAAUACAAAAUGAAUUGCAAACUAACAACACAGCACUUCAUCAUUUGGUUCGGCAUGCUGCAUGUUCACUGACUGAGAUGUGCUGAAUAUGUUUGGAGAAGGUGGAGCUUCCAGUUUAUCCUGACUGGGCUGCAAAUCCUCAUUGCCACAGUGAUUGUCGUUCAGGUUGCUCAGUUCACUGUGUCUUCUUGUCUCUGUGCCUGUCACUCCUGGAGAAACUGUACAUCAUACACACGCCUGUCUGUGUUGCUGUGCCAGUUUUUUUUUUUUCUUCUUCUUCUUCAAUGCAGGAAAUGUCAAAAUGAUAUUACGGUGUGUCAUGUAUGAUUAGUGAAAUAUCAUUUUGGGGGGGUUCUCUGUGUCAGACCGCCCAUAUGUGUUUGCUACGUUUACACUGUGUUUGAUUUUAUCCGCAUGUGGUCUGUCAAGUUUGACUAAAGCACACAGCAGCUGGUACCUGUAUACACAUAUAAAUAUAUUUCAAAUUUGGCAUUACAGCACCAACGACAUAAUGUUUGUGAGCCAAAUGAUGUUUUGACUUUGAAAAAACAUAAAAAAGCUAAUAAUGAAUCUCAGUGAAAUCCAAAAGUGAUAUGUCCCAUCUCAAGUUCUGAUUUUUGUGUGUGUGUGUGUGUGUCUGUAUGUGAGUUUGUGUAUUUCAGCACAGCUACCCUGCUCAACAUAGUCCUGAUCCCAGACUUGAAGCAGCGACAGAAGCUGGCUCGUCAGGGAUAACAGAUGAGUGUAGAUGAACAGUGUCAGAUGCGCAGGGCCAGAGGUUGGGAAGAGGACCUGUCUGAGGCAUCACUACCUCCAUUCCUCAUGGCUACAUCUGCCAGAGCCUCCUCCCACCUGUCUGAUGCUGCUGAGAUUUAUGUGGCUGUAUAGGAGGAGGCCAAUCCAGUGUGCCAGGCCAUGUGUAGGCUUCCUUUUAAACUGACAGUUGUGUGUAUGAUACUGUAGCUGACUUCCAGCGAGUCUUGGCCCAGUGUAUCUGGGAUCUGUCAUAAGUGAAAGCUUGAAAAGGUUAGGACAGUUCAGGGAAGAUAAAUGGUGAAUUGGGAGGACAGCUGAUGUAGGAACGCAAACACUUUGAGCCGAUGGAGCGGACUGAGGCUGGGCUCCCCAUCCCACCACACACUGCGGUGGUGUCUGAUACCUGCUACAACAGCUACAGAUGGAGAAAAUCAUCCACCGUGUGCUCCACUAAAAGAAGUUUCUACAGAGCGGGCCAUUCACUAGCCACUCUAUUACCCUCAUCAAAACAAAUGAUAAAGAAUGGUUACUGGGUUUUCACAAUGUCUUUUGUAUAAUAAAGCUCGUUAACUGCAUUGCGCAAAACAAAUGGGCAGAAUAAUCAGUAUACUUAUUGACAUUGUGUCAUUUCUACUUAGAGCAGGAAGAGGACUCUCACUACGGCUCCAGGCUUCGCCUUCUCUCUCUCAAGAGGAUGCGCACUAAUGGCUUCUGAAAGCAGGGAUCGAAGGAACUCAUAAAGCCCUGCAGGAUGAGACGAGAGGAGGAGGAUGAUUAUUAAUCCUUUUAAUCUGAGUACAUGACGCUCUUUGCUAGUAUACAGGCCUGAGACCAAUAUCACGCUGUAUCACACAAACUAAUUGCAGAUGGUGUUUAUGGUGCUAAGCUUAAAAGAGGUUAAAAAUCAACCUUUCAAUUACUUCAACAGUUGUCACAAUAUACACCAACUUAUUUUAUUGCAUUGAUUUUCAAAACUGGUAAAAUGUCAGAAUGAUGUUUUUUGUCUGUAACUCAAGUUCACAUUCACAGAUGUGUCUCAUUAAUUUAUGUAAUUUAUUCUUUGUUCAUAUGUGCAUGUGACCCUAGCCCACAUGGACAGAGAAGUUUGACUGCUUGGUUAAAUGCUACUGCACAUGAGGCUCUACACUGUUCAAUAACAUAAUACAGUAUGUUCAUAAUUAAGGGUUGAAGCAAGCAUCAGCAGACCCUCUUUCCAUGUAUAACAAUUUGAUUAUCAUGAAUAAUACUCCUGUUUUGACUAUAUACUUUUACCUCACUGCCCCAGUUACAGUAUAUAUUCACAAAUCCUUUCCAAAGUCGAAAUUGUCUGACAUGAUUAACUCACAGAAAUAUAUCUGUGAAGAAGUGUGUAACACUUUGGAUAUUCAUUAAAAAAUCCAAGUAUCAUGACUUAUAUAUAACAAAAAAAUUCUGUGCCCCUGCUCCUGAUUUUGGUACAUUUUCUUGUAUUUUGUUACAAUAGACAUGAGCAUGGGACCAAUCCUCUCAUCUUACUUUGAGCAAGUAAGUGAAUAAGCGUAUUACCCGAAACGUCAAGCAUUUUUCUUUAAGAAUAUUCUUAAGAUUCAUAUUUUGUUCACAGAGUGAGAACACAUCAUCCGGCAAUGCUCCACUGCUGUUUUUUAAGUAUUACCCAUGCUUCACCCCCUGCUGUUUUAUAUUUGCUAAUAAAAGCUGAUAGACGGAUAAAUCAAAGAUUGGGUGCGUCUGCAUGGCCGCACAGGUCAAAUCCACGGUGUGUGAGCUGCUCUGCUUCACCGUUAUUAAGAGAUGACUGACAGCUGUCAUGUCCUCAUCACUGCAGACUGAUAUUUGUCAGAAGCCAUCUCUCUGACAGAGGAUCUGUGGGUCUUUUCAGCCAAGAGACGGCUCACUCUACGGCUGCUUCGGUGCUGCGAGGCUUCACCUACAGGAGAGCGACGCCUGUAAUCGGCCCUUGCAGAUGAAAUUAUGUCUGAAUUAUUUCCUGUUAUAUUUUUGUCAAAUCAAAGCACAAUAUACAUCUUGAGGUUUCUAUUUUUUUUGCAACAAUUAUGCUCUUUAUUUUACCAUUUGAUCAUGUUGUUACUGCAGAUGCAAGGUAGCAUGAACACACAACUGGAUUUACAGUAAUGAUUAUUAACUCAAACUGCAUUAUUUGCAGGGGAGACAAUACACACACCUGUGAUCUGUUUCUGCGUCAAGCUGUUGUCUGGUUUUUAAUGAUGCAUACUUAAUAAUUUAUUUAAAAGUCCAUCUUUCACCACGUGGCUCUGCUGUGUGUUUAUCAUCAUUUAUCAUCUGCAUCAAUGUGCCCGGCUGUAGAGAACCAUGCUGUGAGAAUGAGUCAAUGCUGUUACUGUUGCUUUGUACUGCUGCCUGAACAACCCAAUCAUCUGGCCCCACUCUCACUUUCCUCAUCAAUGCAAGCGCCCGUAAUGUAUGAUAGAGCUGUGAUUUAUAAUCCAUGCUCAAAAUUAAACAGCAUAAAUUACUCUUAUUUACUCUGCAGGUGAUAAAGAUCCCGUCAAAUAAUGUCACUUGAGCAUAAUUUUUAUAGAACAAAUGAAAUUUGUUAUCAGGGAAAAGCAGGUCAAGUUCAUCAAUUAAAAGUCUACUCUUUUUUUUCUUCCCCCUCUUCGCUGUAAAUGGUCCAGUGCUAUUUAAAAUGAUUGAUUUUAUUAUUUCUUCAUUUAUUAAAGUACUACGUGAGGCGGUAGCAUGAGCAAUCAGGACAACAGAAACUGACUCAGCAGAAAUGUCUUAAACACUGGCACAUCACAUUUGGACUCGACUCGUCUUUGUGAGUGUUUUGACCACAUCCACUCAGGCACAAAACACCGGGGAGGACAUUUAAGAUAAAAUUCAGGAAAGGUGACAUUUCUCUUUCAAAGGGCCCUAUUUAAAGAAACGCACUAUUUCUACUUUGAGUGGAGCACAGAUGUUAAGUGCUUUUAUUUCUGUCAAACCUUUGGGAAAUGACUUUUUGAAUUAUAUAUACAGCGGAGGGAGGUGGAGGGAUUUUAAUAAAUGUCUUGUCAACGACUCAAAUCAUCCAAUAAAUGAGACAAAUCCGUUUUCACGAGGUGCAUUUAAAAAAAUGUUAUUUUGUUAUAACUGUGUAUUCAGGAGUGACCGGCUGCAAUCAAGAGCGCAAGGGGUUAAAAUCUGUGCUACUUGGGAGUGUGUCCCCCAGGAAAAGGAAUGAGGUCCCCGGGAAUGUUUUACAGAUAAAAUAAAAGAAUCGGGAGAAUGAGCAAAAGAAGAGAAGUUGAAUAUAUAUUUCAUGUGAUAAGAGAAAGAUGAAGCGCAAGAAAAAAGAUUCCAUUACAGCUGCGACAGUUACAAAACUGCUGCUGUGUGGAGUAGCCUCUGUUGAAAAGAUUGAUGCAAGAAGGACUGACCUUGGCUUGGAGCAGGAGUCGGUGAUGUAUGUAUGAGCAUCUCCCUGCUAAAUGGACCCAGAUUUGUAGCACUAAUAUACAUGGAAGCCCAGUUCCAAACUCGCCACGGCCAUAAAUCAACAGCCACUUUGGGUGUCAUUUCUGGUUUAUAUUCUACUAUUGUUCUGUGCUUUUAAUUCGUGUCACUGCCAUCUGUUCAUUUGAUGCAGUUUCAUACUGUAUGAUUUGGCUGUGGAGAUACUGUGCAGACAAUCCCUGCUAGACCAUCAGUGUGGAUUAACUGCACCGGGUAAAUUCCUCAGAGGGUUUCUCCGUAUGUAAAUAGAAUGUGAAUUGAGUGAAAUCCUUACACAUUGUCUCAGUGAAGGAAGAAAUCUAUAAAAGCACAUCCAUGGUUUGUUUCAAUGUUAAAAAUAAACUCCUGUUUUACUCCUUUA